UACGAAGGGGGCAAGCGUUGUUCGGAGUUACUGGGCGUAAAGAGUGCGUAGGCGGUUUUCUAAGUUUGGUGUGAAAUCUCCCGGCUCAACUGGGAGGGUGCGCCGAAGACUGGAAGGCUUGAGUAUGGGAGAGGUAAGCGGAAUUCCUGGUGUAGCGGUGAAAUGCGUAGAUAUCAGGAGGAACACCUGCGGUGUAGACGGCUUACUGGACCAUAACUGACGCUGAGGCACGAAAGCGUGGGUAGCAAACAGG
rnacentral:rRNA from 1 species